AGCACAAGUUCUAGGAACACUGCAAAAUGUGGAAGAUAUCAACUAUUCUAGUCUUCGCAAUUCUUGUUGCGGUGUUCAUCUUCGCGGCUGAGGCUUUCUCGUCGGAGGAUUAUGCUAGUGACAUGGUGGACAAUAUAGCCAAGCGAGAAUUGUUUGAUCAAGGAGACAAAUAUGACCCACCUCCAAUUUACCAACCAGAUACGAUGUAAAGGUUUAAGGGAGCUUGACCGUGUGAAAAGUAAAUGUUCAAUACAGCGUUAUAAAUAUAUCUAAAAUCAAACAA